UUUCAGUGGGCCCCGCCAAUGGAGAUUAUACGUUGGUACUCAGUGGACCCUGCCAGUGGGGGUUGUGCGCUGGUGUUUGUGGACUCUGCCAGUGGGAGUUGUGCGUUGGUAUUUGUGGACCCUGCCAGUGGGGGUUGUGCGCUGGUAUUCUGUAGACCCCGCCAAUGGAGGUUAAACGUUGGUCAUAGUCGAGGCUGUUGAGUUACGAGUGUUUUGAAUCGAAUCGGAUUUAUAAUUAUACUAUAUGUGAAUAUUUGAAAUUAUUGGAUUUGCAUUAAAUCAGCAUGAAAUAUAUUUUUAUGUUUAUUUGCAGCAUUAUUCUUGAAAAUUAUAUAAUAUCUGAAAUAUCUGGUAGAGAUACUUAUUACUUACUGGGCUGUCUAGCUCAUUACCUUUCUUUCUAUUUUUCAGAUUCAGAUAAUUAAUUUCGAGCGUGGGAAGAAAUAUUGGGACAGAGCUUUUAGAGGCAAGAUUUAGCGUUGUCAACUUCACUUGAACUUAGAUCUAUUAUUUUAUUGUUAGCAAAAAUUUUAUUGGAUGUAAGAUAUUUGAUUUAAUUACUUGAAUUACAGUUGAAUAAUAAUUAUUUGAAUUUAUUCUGCUGUGAUGCAUUGAUAUCGUGAUGAGAUGCCUUGCAUGCUUAUGGAGAGAGUUCUUCAUGAGUAUGCGGUGGUUGCCGCGACCCUCGAUUCAUAAUCUUGGAUCGGGGGCGUGACAAUUAAUAUGGUAUCAGAGCAUAAGUAGAUAAAUUAUGACACAUAGAAUUUGACAUAGUAUAAGUGUAGGUGGGUAAACAUUAGGAAUAUUGGGACGUUAAAGUAUGAGCAUCAUAAUAAACCCAUCCUAACAAAUAGAUAAAUGAAUCUAAUAAAGUUUUACUACUACAAGGUUAUUAUGCCUCCCCGUAGAAUGACAAGAACUACUCGAGGAAUUGCAAAAGGGACAUCACAACCACAGAAUGGUAGCACUCCCCAUCUGACC
rnacentral:lncRNA from 1 species